UUGAUGGCAGAUGUUCAGAAGCCUGGGUUGUCGAGGACUGGGUCAGUGCAAUGGAGAAACUGUUUGAGGAUUUGUUUAUUCCUGAGCGGGAGCAGGUACACCUGGGAGUUCACUGCUUGACAGAAGAUGCACUUGUAUGGUGGAAGAGAGUGAGACGAGAUUAUAGAUUGGUGACCUUGCAGAUGAGAUGGGAUGAGUUCUGCGGCAUGCUGUAUAGGAUGUAUUUUUCCAACAGUGUAAAGCAGAAGCUCGAAGAGGAUCUG
rnacentral:lncRNA from 1 species